AUUGAACGCUGGCGGCAGGCCUAACACAUGCAAGUCGAACGAGUGGCGGACGGGUGAGUAAUGUCUGGGAAACUGCCUGAUGGAGGGGGAUAACUACUGGAAACGGUAGCUAAUACCUCAUACCAUCGGAUGUGCCCAGAUGGGAUUAGCUAUUAGGUGGGUUAACGGCUCACCUAGGCGACGAUCCCUAGCUGGUCUGAGAGGAUGACCAGCCAAACAGUAACUGAGACACGGUCCAGACUCCUAAGGGAGGCAGCAGGGGGGAAUAUUGCACAAUGGGCGCAAGCCUGAGACAGCCAUGCCGCGUGUAUGAAGAAGGCCUUCGGGUUGUAAAGUACUUUCAGCGGGGAGGCGUUACCCGCAGAAGAAGCACCGGCUAACUCCGUGCCAGCAGCCGCGGUAAUAC
rnacentral:rRNA from 1 species